rnacentral:lncRNA from 1 species
UCCCCCAGAGGCCUGGGCCCUUCCCUGGAGGGUUGCAGAUCCAGGACAUCUGGGGACACUUAGGAGAUCGCAGCUGUUCUGAUGAGAAAUAGGAAAUGUACUCCAUCCUUGCCCAGCAAAACCAAAAUGCUAAGUGAAUAGAUUUAAGGACUGUUUAGCUGCCUGGGUGCCUCUGUUGCGAUAAAGGAGGUAAUGACAGAUGGCUUUUCUCAAAGAUCAUCCGUGGGAGAGAGCCUUGAAGGGAGUUUAAUAAGUACCAUGUGGGCUUUGGGUUCGAAGCUUUCAUUGUUCUUUAAAGGAGAUUUCCAGGUGAUUCUAAGGCAAGGUAAAAACUGAGAACCAGUGGUUUAGCUUAACUUUGAAUUGACUGAAUGAUCACUCUGAUGUUUUGCCAGCAAAGGGAUUUCUAAUAUUGCAGUGGCCCCUGCAUCAGUCUUUGAAAAUACAGCUGUAGCAUCUAUAGCACAAAUGCUUAGGGGCAUCAAAAGUAUAUUGAAGCUAUUUUUAAAAGAGAAACUAUAUAAGCUGUUUACUUUAUAAAAAGGUAUCUUUUAUGCAGGCUAAAUGUUUAUUCUCAAAAGUUAAAGUUAGCCAUUAUCUAUUCUAAAUUAUUUAAAUUAGAGGUAAGGAUAAAAGACAACGACUUUGUGAUGUAGCUCUCUUUAAUCCAAGCAAUAGUCCUAAUUCACUUCCCCAAAUCAUUUGUGUCAUUAAUUGGGAACAGACAUUAGGUAUAUAUGUCUCUAAUUAGGUACCUCUCUUAGCUUGAGGGGCCCUUUUCUUAUCUUCUCUGCUUAUAGGAAAUAACCAGAAUGAAGUCCAGGGUUAUACAACAUUCCCUUUCUCAAGCUUUGAAAUGUCAGUGUAGACAAUUAAGUGGUUUAUAUUGGACAGAGUAUCUGGGAAUUAGAGGUCUUUCAGGGAAAACACCUCCUCCAUUUCUCCUGGGGAUGAAUGAUUGUAAUUCUACCACUGAUCCUGGUCCUAGAUUUCUAGCAGAAUCUUAUUUGAUUAAAAAAAUAAGCAGAAUUCAGAGAUGUGGGUGCAGAGGUCAACAAGGUACGAUUACAACUCUAAUUAGAGUUCUGAUUUGGAAGGCCCAUGAUUGAAGAGUGUUCAAGUACUAGACUUAGCAUAUUCAACUACCAUUUUGUACUCUUUCAUUAACUUGCAUCAUUUAAAUUUUUUAGAGUAAAAAGCAAUUGUAUACUAUUUGCUUUUAUUCCAUAUUUUCAUUUUAGGGUGUGUGAUUUCUCAAUAUCUCUUCGGUCAAAGACUAUUUUAAUUUUUCUCUGAAUGACUUCAAUCUCUGGCAAUAUUUGUGUGUGUGUUUAUAUUGCAUUUCUUGUUGCCUUUUUGUUUUAAUGUCUUCAUAAAAUGUUCUGAAAUUGAUGUUUGCAAUAAUUUGAGUUUCAUGAAAUAAAAAGCAACAUGAAC